CUCUCGGGGCUUUGAAAGCGGGCUAAUGUGUGUUUCUGUCUCUCUGUGUGUAGUAUGCAGACUCAGACAGCGGUGAUGACUCGGAUAAGCGCUCCUGAGAGGAGAGCUGGAGACUCAUCUCUUCUCUCAGAGAGAAAUUACCAGCUAACAAGAUGCAGUCUAUCCUGAAGAAGUGUGGUUUGCCCAGCAGUGGGACGAGGAGGGAGCUGCUGCGUGUGUAUCAGAUCCCCCAGCGCACCAGUCCAAACACAGACUUAGCUUAGAGGAGCUUCACACGCAGGCUGUUAAAGAGAUCUGCUAUGAGGUAGCGCUUGGAGACUUUAAACACACUCGGCAAGAGAUCGAGGCCUUGGCCAUUGUCAGGAUGAAGGAGCUUUAUCGGACAUAUGGCCAAAAAGACCCACAGGAAAGAGAGAGCUGGAAAAGUGUGGCCAAGGAUGUAUGUGAGACGGUGGGCGUCGGAGAAGAGGAAGGAGACAGGGAGGAAAGAACGACAGCAGCAGCUGGAGGAGGAGCGAGCGAGCGAGGAAAGACUGAUAUGGGAGAGCUCAAAUCUCAUAUCGACAAGCUGACUGAUAUACUGUAGGAAGUCAAGCUGCAGAAUAAUAUGAAGGAUGAGGAGAUCCAGUCGCUGAGGGACCGCAUGCUGAGGAUGGAGAAGAUAUUCCCAGUUGAAGAUCAGGUAACACUCAUAUAUCUGGCCACACUUCUCCCCAGUUCACUAACAGUGUGAUGAAUGUUGCAAACAAAACUGGCCAGUGUGUGGUAAGUCUGUUGACUCACCUUAUAUAAGGACAUAUAGUCCAAGACUCAUAUGUUAAUGUGCUAUCCUAUUAUUUCUGAUAAACCUGCUCGUAAAUAACAUUUUAAAAGGAAAACUGUGCUCAAAAGUCAAAACUGACACGACUGGCUUGCUUCUGUUUUUACUAGAGGUGGGCAUAGAUUAAUUUUUUUAAUCUAGAUUAAUCUCACUGUGAUCUUGAAAUUAAUCU